rnacentral:misc_RNA from 1 species
GAUGAAGAACGCAGCGAAAUGCGAUACGUAAUGUGAAUUGCGGAAUUCAGUGAAUCAUCGAAUCUUUGAACGCAUAUUGCGCUCUCUGGUAUUCCGGAGAGCAUGCUUGUUUGAGUAUCAGUAAACACCUCAACUUCCAUAUCUUUUUUUGAAAUGGGAGUUGGACUUGAGUGAUCCCAACGCUUUUCCUCACCGAAAAGUGGCGGGUUACUUGAAAUGCAGGUGCAGCUGGACUUUUCUCUGAGCUAUAAGCAUAUCUAUUUAGUCUGCCUAAAAAACAGAUUAUUACCUUUGCUGCAGCUAACAUAAAGGAGAUUAGUUCUUGUGCUGACUGAUGCAGGAUUCACAAAGACAGCUUCGGCCGACUUUGUAAACUCGAUCUCAAAUCAAGUAAGACUACCCGCUGAACUUAAGCAUAUCAAUAAGCGGAGGA